UAGGGGUUCUGAGAGGAAGGUCCCCCACACUGGUACUGAGACACGGACCAGACUCCUACGGGAGGCAGCAGUGAGGAAUAUUGGUCAAUGGGCGAGAGCCUGAACCAGCCAAGUCGCGUGAGGGAGUACUGCCCUAUGGGUUGUAAACCUCUUUUGUCGGGGAGCAAAAGCCGGACGUGUCCGGCUGUGAGAGUACCCGAAGAAAAAGCAUCGGCUAACUCCGUGCCAGCAGCCGCGGUAAUACGGAGGAUGCGAGCGUUAUCCGGAUUUAUUGGGUUUAAAGGGUGCGCAGGCGGAUUUUUAAGUCAGCGGUCAAAUCGUGGGGCUCAACCCCAUCCAGCCGUUGAAACUGGGGAUCUAGAGUGUGCGAGAGGUAUGCGGAAUGCGUGGUGUAGCGGUGAAAUGCAUAGAUAUCACGCAGAACCCCGAUUGCGAAGGCAGCAUACCGGUGCACAACUGACGCUCAGGCACGAAAGCGUGGGUAUCGAACAGGAUUAGAUACCCUGGUAGUCCACGCAGUA
rnacentral:rRNA from 1 species